rnacentral:rRNA from 1 species
UACCAGCACCCCGAGUGGUCGGGACGUUUAUUGGGCCUAAAGCAUCCGUAGCCGGUUCUACAAGUCUUCCGUUAAAUCCAACUGCUUAACAGGUGGGCUGCGGAAGAUACUAUAGAGCUAGGAGGCGGGAGAGGCAAGCGGUACUCGAUGGGUAGGGGUAAGAUCCGUUGAUCCAUUGAAGACCACCAGUGGCGAAGGCGGCUUGCCAGAACGCGCUCGACGGUGAGGGAUGAAAGCUGGGGGAGCAAACAGG